GUGCCAGCAGCCGCGGUAAUACGUAGGGUCCAAGCGUUGUCCGGAUUUAUUGGGCGUAAAGAGCUCGUAGGCGGCUCGGUAAGUCGGAUGUGAAAACUCGGGGCUCAACCCCGAGACGCCAUCCGAUACUGCUGUGGCUUGAGUCUGGUAGGGGAGAUCGGAAUUCCUGGUGUAGCGGUGAAAUGCGCAGAUAUCAGGAGGAACACCGGUGGCGAAGGCGGAUCUCUGGGCCAGUACUGACGCUGAGGAGCGAAAGCGUGGGUAGCAAACAGGAUUAGAUACCCUGGUAGUCC
rnacentral:rRNA from 1 species